rnacentral:rRNA from 1 species
UACAGAGGGUGCAAGCAUUAAUCGGAUUUAUUGGGCGUAAAGAGCUCGUAGGCGGUUUGUCGCGUCUGCUGUGAAAACCUAAGGCUCAACCUUGGGCUUGCAGUGGGUACGGGCAGACUAGAGUGCGGUAGGGGUGACUGGAAUUCCUGGUGUAGCGGUGGAAUGCGCAGAUAUCAGGAGGAACACCGAUGGCGAAGGCAGGUCACUGGGCCGCAACUGACGCUGAGGAGCGAAAGCAUGGGGAGCGAACAGG